rnacentral:tRNA from 1 species
AGUGGUAUAGCUCAGUCAGUAGAGCAUGAGACUCUUAAUCUCAGUUAUGGGUUUGUGCCCCACAUUGGGUGCCAUUG